AGCGCCGUCAUGAGACCCGACUGGUGGAGAUUGACAAUGGGAAGCAGCGUGAGUUUGAGAGCCGGCUGGCGGAUGCGCUGCAGGAACUGCGGGCCCAGCAUGAGGACCAGGUGGAGCAGUAUAAGAAGGAGCUGGAGAAGACUUAUUCUGCCAAGCUGGACAAUGCCAGGCAGUCUGCUGAGAGGAACAGCAACCUGGUGGGGGCCGCCCACGAGGAGCUGCAGCAGUCGCGCAUCCGCAUCGACAGCCUCUCUGCCCAGCUCAGCCAGCUCCAGAAGCAGGGCCCUUGGGAGCUCACCAAACUCUCCCACCCCCCUGCAGCUGGCAGCCAAGGAGGCGAAGCUUCGAGACCUGGAGGACUCACUGGCCCGUGAGCGGGACACCAGCCGGCGGCUGCUGGCGGAAAAGGAGCGGGAGAUGGCCGAGAUGCGGGCAAGGAUGCAGCAGCAGCUGGACGAGUACCAGGAGCUUCUGGACAUCAAGCUGGCCCUGGACAUGGAGAUCCACGCCUACCGCAAGCUCUUGGAGGGCGAGGAGGAGAGGCUACGCCUGUCCCCCAGCCCUACCUCGCAGCGCAGCCGUGGCCGUGCUUCCUCUCACUCAUCCCAGACACAGGGUGGGGGCAGCGUCACCAAAAAGCGCAAACUGGAGUCCACCGAGAGCCGCAGCAGCUUCUCACAGCACGCGCGCACUAGCGGGCGCGUGGCCGUGGAGGAGGUGGACGAGGAGGGCAAGUUUGUCCGGCUGCGCAACAAGUCCAAUGAGGACCAGUCCAUGGGCAAUUGGCAGAUCAAGCGCCAGAAUGGAGAUGAUCCCUUGCUGACUUACCGGUUCCCACCAAAGUUCACCCUGAAGGCUGGGCAGGUGGUGACGGUGAGUGGCAGGGCGCUUGGGACUCUGGGGAGGCCUUGGGUGGCGAUGGGAGCACUGGGGUAAGUGUCCUUUUCUCCUCUCCAGAUCUGGGCUGCAGGAGCUGGGGCCACCCACAGCCCCCCUACCGACCUGGUGUGGAAGGCACAGAACACCUGGGGCUGCGGGAACAGCCUGCGUACGGCUCUCAUCAACUCCACUGGGGAAGAGGUGGCCAUGCGCAAGCUGGUGCGCUCAGUGACUGUGGUUGAGGACGACGAGGAUGAGGAUGGAGAUGACCUGCUCCAUCACCACCACGUGAGUGGUAGCCGCCGCUGAGGCCGAGCCUGCACUGGGGCCACCCAGCCAGGCCUGGGGGCAGCCUCUCCCCAGCCUCCCCAUGCCAAAAAUCUUUUCAUUAAAGAAUGUUUUGGAACUUUACUCGCUGGCCUGGCCUUUCUUCUCUCUCCUCCCUAUACCUUGAACAGGGAACCCAGGUGUCUGGGUGCCCUACUCUGGUAAGGAAGGGAGUGGGAACUUUCUGAUGCCAUGGAAUAUUCCUGUGGGAGCAGUGGACAAGGGUCUGGAUUUGUCUUCUGGGAAAGGGAGGGGAGGACAGACGUGGGGCAUGCCUGCCCUGCCUCUCUCCCCCAUUCUUGUUGCAUGCAUAUCCUCUCAUUUCCCUCAUUUUUCCUGCAAGAAUGUUCUCUCUCAUUCCUGACCGCCCCUCCACUCCAAUUAAUAGUGCAUGCCUGCUGCCCUACAAGCUUGCUCCCGUUCUCUCUUCUUUUCCUCUUAAGCUCAGAGUAGCUAGAACAGAGUCAGAGUCACCGCUCUGGUUCUCUGUCCCCAAGUCUUCCUGAGCCUUCUCCCCUUUUAUGUCUUCCCUCUCCUCCUCCGGCCCUUGGCCUCCCAAACCCCCAUUGCCCGCUGGCUCCUUAGGCACAGAACCACACCUUCCUGCCUGGCGGCUGGGAGCCUGCAGGAGCCUGGAGCCUGGAGCCUGGUUGGGCCUGAGUGGUCAGUCCCAGACUCGCCGUCCCGCCUGAGCCUUGUCUCCCUUCCCAGGGCUCCCACUGCAGCAGCUCGGGGGACCCCGCUGAGUACAACCUGCGCUCGCGCACCGUGCUGUGCGGGACCUGCGGGCAGCCUGCCGACAAGGCAUCUGCCAGCGGCUCAGGAGCCCAGGUGGGCGGACCCAUCUCCUCUGGCUCUUCUGCCUCCAGUGUCACGGUCACUCGCAGCUACCGCAGUGUGGGGGGCAGUGGGGGUGGCAGCUUCGGGGACAAUCUGGUCACCCGCUCCUACCUCCUGGGCAACUCCAGCCCCCGAACCCAGAGCCCCCAGAACUGCAACAUCAUGUAAUCUGGGACCUGCCAGGCAGGGGUGGGGGUGGAGGCUUCCUGCGUCCUCCUCACCUCAUGCCCACCCCCUGCCCUGCACCUCAUGGGAGGGGGCUUGAAGCCAAAGAAAAAUAACCCUUUGGUUUUUUUCUUCUGUAUUUUUUUUUUCUAAGAGAAGUUAUUUUCUACAGUGGUUUUAUACUGAAGGAAAAACACAAGC
rnacentral:sRNA from 1 species